rnacentral:rRNA from 1 species
AACGCUGGCGGCGGCCUACACAUGCAAGUCGAACGGUAACAUUUCUAGCUUGCUAGAAGAUGACGAGUGGCGGACGGGUGAGUAAUGCUUGGGAACUUGCCUUUGCGAGGGGGAUAACAGUUGGAAACGACUGCUAAUACCGCAUAAUGUCUUCGGACCAAACGGGGCUUCGGCUCCGGCGCAAAGAGAGGCCCAAGUGAGAUUAGCUAGUUGGUAAGGUAACGGCUUACCAAGGCGACGAUCUCUAGCUGUUCUGAGAGGAAGAUCAGCCACACUGGGACUGAGACACGGCCCAGACUCCUACGGGAGGCAGCAGUGGGGAAUAUUGCACAAUGGGGGAAACCCUGAUGCAGCCAUGCCGCGUGUGUGAAGAAGGCCUUCGGGUUGUAAAGCACUUUCAGUUGUGAGGAAAAGUUAGUAGUUAAUACCUGCUAGCCGUGACGUUAACAACAGAAGAAGCACCGGCUAACUCCGUGCCAGCAGCCGCGGUAAUACGGAGGGUGCGAGCGUUAAUCGGAAUUACUGGGCGUAAAGCGCACGCAGGCGGUUUGUUAAGCUAGAUGUGAAAGCCCCGGGCUCAACC